rnacentral:rRNA from 1 species
CCUACGGGUGGCAGCAGUCGAGAAUCAUUCACAAUGGGGGAAACCCUGAUGGUGCGACGCCGCGUGGGGGAAUGAAGGUCUUCGGAUUGUAAACCCCUGUCAUGUGGGAGCAAAUUAAAAAGAUAGUACCACAAGAGGAAGAGACGGCUAACUAUGUGACAGCAGCCUCGGUAAUACAGAGGUCUCUAGGGCUGUUCGGAAUCACUGGGCGUAAAGCGUGCGUUGUCUGUUGCGUGAGUCGCGUGUGAAAAGCGCGGGCUCAACCCGCGGACAGCCCAUGAAACUGCGAGGCUGGAGUAAUCGAGGGGGAAGCGGAAUGCGCGGUGUAGCAGUGAAAUGCGUAGAGAUCGGGAGGAACACCCGUGGCGAAGGCAGGUUCCCGGACCUUAACUGACGCUGAGGCAAGAAAGCGUGGGGAGCGAAAGGGAUUAGAUACCCCAGUAGUC